GCCAGGCUUAGUGGCAAACACCUGUAAUCCCAGCAGCUUGGGAGGCUGAGGCAGGAGGAUUGCAAGUUCAAAGCCAGCUUCGGCAACUCAGUGAGACCCUGUCUCUA
rnacentral:sRNA from 1 species